ACUCCUACGGGAGGCAGCAGUGGGGAAUAUUGCACGAAAUGGGCGCAAGCCUGAUGCAGCCAUGCCGCGUGUAUGAAGAAGGCCUUCGGGUUGUAAAGUACUUUCAGCAGUGAGGAAGGUGGGUAUGUUAAUAGCAUACUCAUUUGACGUUAGCUGCAGAAGAAGCACCGGCUAACUCCGUGCCAGCAGCCGCGGUAAUACGGAGGGUGCGAGCGUUAAUCGGAAUUACUGGGCGUAAAGCGCAUGCAGGUGGUUUGUUAAGUCAGAUGUGAAAGCCCGGGGCUCAACCUCGGAAUUGCAUUUGAAACUGGGCAAACUAGAGUACUGUAGAGGGGGGUAGAAUUUCAGGUGUAGCGGUGAAAUGCGUAGAGAUACUGGAACGGAAUACCGGUGGCGAAGGCGGCCCCCUGGACAGAUACUAGGCACGUCAGAUGCGAAAGCGUGGGGAGCAAACAGGAUUAGAUACCCGUGGUAGGCUCUGC
rnacentral:rRNA from 1 species